AACGAACGCUGGCGGCAGGCUUAACACAUGCAAGUCGAGCGCCCCGCAAGGGGAGCGGCAGACGGGUGAGUAACGCGUGGGAACGUACCCUUUGCUACGGAAUAGCUCCGGGAAACUGGAAUUAAUACCGUAUGUGCCCUACGGGGAAAGAUUUAUCGGCAAAGGAUCGGCCCGCGUUGGAUUAGCUAGUUGGUGGGGUAAUGGCCUACCAAGGCGACGAUCCAUAGCUGGUCUGAGAGGAUGAUCAGCCACAUUGGGACUGAGACACGGCCCAAACUCCUACGGGAGGCAGCAGUGGGGAAUAUUGGACAAUGGGCGCAAGCCUGAUCCAGCCAUGCCGCGUGAGUGAUGAAGGCCUUAGGGUUGUAAAGCUCUUUCACCGGAGAAGAUAAUGACGGUAUCCGGAGAAGAAGCCCCGGCUAACUUCGUGCCAGCCGCCGCCGUAACAC
rnacentral:rRNA from 1 species